rnacentral:rRNA from 1 species
GUUGAUCCUGCCGGAGGUUACUGCUAUCGAGGUUCGACUAAGCCAUGCGAGUCGAAUGUAGCAAUACAUGGCGUACUGCUCAGUAACACGUGGAUAACCUACCCUUGAGUCGGGGAUAAACCCGGGAAACUGGGUAUAAUACCCGAUAGAUCUCGACUGCUGGAAUGCAUCGAGCUUUAAAGCUCCGGCGCUCAAGGAUGGAUCUGCGGCCUAUCAGGUAGUAGUGGGUGUAGCAUACCUACUAGCCUACGACGGGUACGGGUUGUGAGAGCAAGAGCCCGGAGAUGGAUUCUGAGACACGAAUCCAGGCCCUACGGGGUGCAGCAGGCGCGAAAACUUUACAAUGCUGGAAACAGCGAUAAGGGGACCUCGAGUGCCAGGUUACAAAUCUGGCUGUCGUGAUGCCUAAAAAGCAUUGCAUAGCAAGGGCCGGGCAAGACCGGUGCCAGCCGCCGCGGUAACACCGGCGGCUCGAGUGGUAACCGUUAUUAUUGGGUCUAAAGGGUCUGUAGCCGGCCGGAUAAGUCUCUUGGGAAAUCCAGCAGCUCAACUGUUGGGCUUUCAGGAGAUACUGUCUGGCUCGAGGCCGGGAGAGGUGAGAGGUACUUCAGGGGUAGGGGUGAAAUCUUGUAAUCCUUGAAGGACCACCAGUGGCGAAGGCGUCUCACCAGAACGGACCUGACGGCAAGGGACGAAAGCUAGGGGCACGAACCGGAUUAGAUACCCGGGUAGUCCUAGCCGUAAACGAUACUCGCUAGGUGUCGGCCACGGUGCGACCGUUGUCGGUGCCGUAGGGAAGCCGUGAAGCGAGCCACCUGGGAAGUACGGCCGCAAGGCUGAAACUUAAAGGAAUUGGCGGGGGAGCACCACAAC